AAAAAGUGUAAGGGUGAGAGGAGAGAGAGAGAGUUUCAAUACGAGCCGUUCAAAAGUGUAUUGAAUGGUCUGGAUGUGCCGAACAGGUACCACAUGGGAUAUAUCCAACCGGCACUGAAAAAUUUAUUGGGGCAAGGAAACUGUGCCGUUUGUGGUUCAUGUAGCAAAAAACCCAAGGCAAGCAAACCAAGGAAAAAUGACAAGGCUGAGAAAUAUGUAUUGCUCCAAACAAAAAAUUUGAAAUCUUCAUAAAAUUGUAUAUCUAUACACAAGAGAAGGAAAGAGGAUUAAAAAAAUUGAACCUGUUUGAAAGUCUCUCUUUUUUUUUUUUAUCAUUUUAUUUUAAAGAGUCACAAUUAAUUUUUGUCUUUAAGGCUCUCAUAAUUAAGUAUUUGCUCUUUAUUUCGGAUCCUAUAGAGCAGAAAAUUGAUUAUGAGAGCCCAAGAGACAAAAAUUAAUUAUGACUUUUUGACCCCGUUCAGUUGUCAGGAAAGUACAGGAAAUGAUGGAAAAAUCAAUUUUCCCAUAUCUUUUGUAGUGUUCAGUUGGCAAAAAAGUAGUGGGAAACUUGUUUUUAGGUUUUCCUACAAGAUUUACUUUCUUGCAAAAGUGAUCCGGCCAAAAACAAAGGAUUUUGCGUCAUGGAAAAAGUUUUCUCCAUUGUGGGGUCAAAAUAAUCGGAGAAUAAGAAUAAAAGUGAUUGACACCAAUACCAAAAAAUACGAAUUAGGUUCUUAGAAAGACACUUUGAGAUUUACGUAAGCAACAACAAUUUCGAUUACUAUGGUGCUUUCUAUGAUAAUUGUUUUGGAAAAAGAUUGGUAGUUUGUUUUUUUUGGAAGUAUUUAUUUAUCUUGUCAUUGGUCUUCAAUUUUGUUUUGUACUAACUAAUUUUCAGUGAGUUUUUGCAUCAGCAACUAAUCAAACACGGUUGUUUAAUAUUUAUUUAUUUAGUUAUCAUCUACUUAUUUUUUAAACUUUAUUUGUACGGUUGAUUAUUAGAGAAUGUCAAUUUAAAUGAGGGAUUUGUAUGACCAUUCAAAAUAUAGCAAAUUGAAUAAAGAAUUACAAAUUGAUUUUUUUAUUUCAUGUUAAGGCUUUGCAUUAGAUAAAAUACAUUUUCCGUAUGUGUCAAUUUUUGAAAUAUGACAGCCUAUUAUUUAGCUCUCAAAGUUACUUUUAUUUAAAAUUCGCCAUGAAAAUAAAAAUAAAGAAGUUUCUCAUAAGUGUCUUUUCUCUGUAAAUGAACCACUAAACUUUAGUUUUCCUGCAAAAAAAAUUGUCAAAUAAACACUCACAGGAAAAUAGAUUUUUUUUUCUUUUAUUUCACUUUACUUAACUUUUCUUGAGAAUAACUUUCCGGUACAAUAUUCCUGACAACUGAACGGAGCCUUUAGGAUAAAAUGAUAAAAGAAUAAGAUCUUUACACCGGUUCAAACGGAUUGAAAAUUGGAACACUUAAGGAAACUUUGAGAGCAGUGUGGGAACUUUGUGCGGGGACUGGUCCGUUAUGUUGUUAUGAAAGAUAUACUUUUUCUUGGUAUUUUGUUGAGUUCAUACUCUAUAGUGGGUGAGCAAGAGCACUGACCGUAAAAACGUUUUUAACAAAAAUUCAUAAACUACUAAAAUUUGCUAAAACGAGAAUUGAGAGUGCGAUCACAGAUCCUAAUAAGGAGUGAGCACAUGUGCCCACAUCACAUACAUUAAACUGCUCGUGUGUGAGGAGUUAUAGUUUGAAGUUGUGUUUCUUGACUCUUUAAUUAAUUUUCUUUUUUUGGUAAACAUUUUUUGAUUAAGCUGUGUUUUUGUAAACUCAUAAGUUUGAAAUUUAUUUUAAUAUUAUUUAUUUUUCGUAACUUUUUGUUUAGCUUUUCGUCGUAAUUUUGUGAGUUAAUCGUUCUUCUCGACAGGAAGAAUCGAAAAAGUAUAAAAAUAUAAACAAACCGAUGUUGAAAAAAAUACAAACAAUACAGCUGUUUGAUACUUUUUUCAUCUUCAGUGAAUUUUUGUUUUGCGUUCCAUCAUAAUUUUUAUACUUUUCGACUAUUCUCGUUGAGACAGAUGAUUAAUUCAAAAAAUAUGAGACAAAUUUGACAAAAAUUAAAAAAAAAAAAACAGAACACAUAAAACGAUAAAAAAAUAAGUUUACAAGAAUAGAAUUUAUGGACUAUAGGAACAUUACCCGGGUAAACAAGAGCAUCGCCGACCGGAAUUCUCCCCGGGAUAAUCAUAAUUACACAUCGCGUUAGGCCCACAAACUCCAUGGAUCUUGCACGGCUGACUUAUGGCUUGCCAAGAAACAUUCCAAAUUCUCUUCCCCUCAUCCAAACUAUACAAUCUCACAUUCCCAUCCACAUCCAUUCUCAAUCUUCUCCAACCCUCAAUCCCAUAAUCCGAAGCCUUAAACUCAAAAUCAUCACUUGAUCGGAAAUACCCAGAUGAAUUGAACGCCGCAGUUCGACUGUUAUUAUAGCUGGUCCGACCCGCCUCCCAGCUGAUCAACCACGGGUCGGGCCAGUACAUGCUGGAAGUCUCCGCGCCGUCAAAUAGUAAACGGAGGACGUUAUCGUGGUCGAAAAACAGGGCGUAAAAUCCAGAUGAGAAAUUUGUAUGGCUUCGAGAGGAGACGAGUUUUGAAUUUCGGGUUAUGGGUUGGUUUGGAAGAAGGGUGUCUGUCGGUGAAUCAAAACUUUCCCAGACCUUCAUAGAACCACUUCGAUUUCGAAGAACGAGGUUACCCGUAUUUAGAAGUUGUAAAUAAAGUGGGGAAAUUGAUUUGGUGUUUGUGGACCAAACUUCGAAUUGGGCGGCAUCGGUCAGUAUGAGGUUGCCGGAUUUAAGGAGAGAGAGUUUGGAACGUUCUCCAUUGACGGGUCGGUCGCGAUUGGCCAUCCAAACGACAGUGAGAUCACCGUCGGAUGUGCGUUUAGUGAACCAUAUGGAAAAGCAAUAGGCAUUUUCGCCGAUGGAGUGGAAGCCGGCGGAGAAGAUUCCGUUUGCUGAAAUUAAGACGUCGGAAAAAGAGAGGAAUGAGGAUGCGGAUAACGUAUCAUGUGAUGAUGAGAUUGAAAACAAAGGUGGUAGAGAUGAUAUGAGUAGGGAGAUGAAGAGGAUUAGAAUUGGGGUAUCCAUUAACUGUUAAGUGGAAUUUAUUAUUUGUAGGAUUUAAAGGGGUGUAAUAUGUUGGUUUGUACUCCGCUAGUUUUUAGUGAGAUU